rnacentral:lncRNA from 1 species
ACACCCUCUAAACUAAAAUGUUUAUAUGGAGGAUUAUCCUGUGAGAAGAUAUGAAAACCUCCACAGUAUCAACACUAAGACAUAAAAUCUCCAAAACAAAUUUGAUUUUCUGUAUGCUAAAGAAUCUGAGUUCACUUCUGUUCAGAGUAAUUGAACAAGAUGAUGAAACAAAAGUCAAGAUUUCUCAUGGAAUUACAUGCAGAAUGAGGAAGGAACCUCUUUAUCAUACAGGAUUUCCAGAGGACAUUAAGCCAAAGCAGCCUGGUGGUUUCUGUAUGACAGCAUCUCUGUGCAACUCAAUGCAUAGAAGCAAACUUCCUAGAAAAAAAUGA